rnacentral:rRNA from 1 species
GACGAACGCUGGCGGCGUGCUUACCACAUGCAAGUCGAACGGAAAGGCCCUGCUUUUGUGGGGUGCUCGAGUGGCGAACGGGUGUGUAUCAUUUUAGUAACCUUCCCUUGACUUUGGGAUAACUUCAGGAAACUGGGGCUAAUACCGGAUAGGAGCUCCUGCUGCAUGGUGGGGGUUGGAAAGUUUCGGCGGUUGGGGAUGGACUCGCGGCUUAUCAGCUUGUUGGUGGGGUAGUGGCUUACCAAGGCUUUUACGGGUAGCCCGCCUGGGAGGGUGACCGGCCACAUUGGGACUGAGCUGCGGCGCAGACUCAUACGGGAGGCAGCAGUGGGAAAUAUUGCACAAUCGGCGGAAGCCUGAGGCAGCAACGCCGGGGGCGGGAUGACGGCCUUCGGGUGGUAAACCGCUGUCGCCUGUGACGGAGCGGGAGUGACGGUAAUGGGUAAAGAAGCACGGGCUAACUACGUG